GGAGGUGGGCGGAGGACCGCCGGCGGGCAGGCACCGCCCGCGGGAGGAAAGUCCGGGCUCCACAGGGCAGGGAGAUCGCUAACGGCGAUCCGGGGCGACCCGAGGGAAAGUGCCACAGAAACCACACCGCCGAUGGCCGUGGAGGCCGGCAGCCCUGGUGAGGGCGGCCGGCGGAGGCACAGGCAAGGGUGAAAUCGUGGGGUAAGGGCCCACGCGCGACGGCCGGGUGACCGGCGGCGGGGCAAACCCCUCCCGGAGCAAGCUCGAAUAGGGGCGCCGCGAGGGCGGCCCGUCCGAGGGCCCGCAAGGGUCCCGGCGCCCGGGUGAGAGCGCUCGAGCGGCGCAGCAAUGCGCCGCCUAGACGAAUGGUCCUCACCCGCCGCGGGGCGACCUGCGGCGGGGACAGAACCCGGCUUACAGCCCACGUCGGGGC
rnacentral:RNase_P_RNA from 1 species